rnacentral:rRNA from 1 species
AUUGAACGCUGGCGGCAGGCCUAACACAUGCAAGUCGAACGGUAACAGGAAGCAGCUUGCUGCUUUGCUGACGAGUGGCGGACGGGUGAGUAAUGUCUGGGAAACUGCCUGAUGGAGGGGGAUAACUACUGGAAACGGUAGCUAAUACCGCAUAACGUCGCAAGACCAAAGAGGGGGACCUUCGGGCCUCUUGCCAUCGGAUGUGCCCAGAUGGGAUUAGCUAGUAGGUGGGGUAAAGGCUCACCUAGGCGACGAUCCCUAGCUGGUCUGAGAGGAUGACCAGCCACACUGGAACUGAGACACGGUCCAGACUCCUACGGGAGGCAGCAGUGGGGAAUAUUGCACAAUGGGCGCAAGCCUGAUGCAGCCAUGCCGCGUGUAUGAAGAAGGCCUUCGGGUUGUAAAGUACUUUCAGCGGGGAGGAAGGGAGUAAAGUUAAUACCUUUGCUCAUCGA